rnacentral:snoRNA from 1 species
AUACUGUGGUGUGGGCAUUUUCUUAACAUUGCUUUUAAUCGAUCCCAUGCUUGGUAUGCAGAUUCAGAAUCUGUCUGCAUAAAAUUAUUGAUUUCUUGCUUCAUUUU